GGCACUAUAGUGUAGUGGUUAUCACUCGGGAUUUUGAUUCCUUAUAAUUUCCCGAAACCCAGGUUCGAACCCUGGUAGCGCCU
rnacentral:tRNA from 1 species